CGGGCUCGACGUGUACCACACGUUCACGCCCGGGGCCUCGUACCCGGGCGCGCUCACCGUCCUCAGACCCUUGGACUUCAUCAUGUCGCGGCACUCGUUCCCGAGGUCCCACGCCAUCUGCUUCGCCUUGCCAAACCCGAGCUCCUUCGUCUCCAGCGCCGCGUCUCGAAAGAGGUUCAGCGCGUCGGUGGGCAUGGUGGUGUAGUAGGCGAACCCCCCGGCGUUGUACGAGUCCAUCACCUCGAGCCAUUUCCUCAUGUUGAUCACCAUGGACGUGGACGUGGUGUUGCGCGUCGCGUAGUCGCCUCGUUCGCUGAGCAUCAUGAGCGAAGAGCACGCGGGACCCGUCCACCCUUUCUGCGGCGCCGAGAGGAUGGCGUCGACGCCCGUCGCCUUCAUGUCCACCCACACGGUACCGGACGCGAUGCAGUCGAGGACGAAGAGCCCACCGUGCGCGUG
rnacentral:lncRNA from 1 species